rnacentral:rRNA from 1 species
UACGAAGGGUGCUAGCGUUGUUCGGAAUGACUGGGCGUAAAGGGCGUGUAGGUGGUUGGAUACGUCUGAUGUGAAAUCCCUAGGCUUAACCUAGGAACUGCAUUGGAUACGGUCUGGCUAGAGCUUGCUAGAGGAAGAUGGAAUUGUGUGUGUAGAGGUGAAAUUCGUAGAUAUGCACAAGAACACCGGUGGCGAAGGCGGUCUUCUGGGGGUAUAGCUGACACUAAGGCGCGAAAGCGUGGGGAGCAAACAGG